rnacentral:rRNA from 1 species
CAAUAGCGUAUAUUAAAGUUGUUGCAGUUAAAAAGCUCGUAGUUGGACCUUGGACCUGGACAGGCGGUCCGCCUCACGGCGUGUACUGUCUUGCUGGGUCUUUCCUCUUGGUGAUCUGUUGUUUCGGCAGCAGGGAACCAGGACUUUUACUUUGAAAAAAUUAGAGUGUUCAAAGCAGGCUCGACGCCGGAAUAUAUUAGCAUGGAAUAAUAAAAUAGGACGUGCGGUUCUAUUUUGUUGGUUUUUGGAAUCGCCGUAAUGAUUAAUAGGGACAGUCGGGGGCAUUAGUACUCACAUGCUAGAGGUGAAAUUCUUGGAUUUUGUGAAGACUAACUUCUGCGAAAGCAUUUGCCGAGGAUGUUUUCAUUAA